rnacentral:lncRNA from 1 species
UACUCCAAUAUGCAGUAACAGUGUGUUUCUAGAGGUUGCAUAAGUCAAUACAGUUUUAGAAAUGCUCCAACAGUUGGUCAUAUGUACACAAAAGGCUUUUAUAUUAAAAAGUGAUGGAGCUCUUCUAAUGCUUGCAAAAAACCAAUACCUAUACAUACAUGAGGAAAGGAGUAAGAUUAUUUAGGCUGAAAGUGUGUUAAAUAUGUAACAGGUACAAAGGAAAAUAAGAGGAAAACAUGAGGAUAGUAUGCAAAGGAUUGUAGACGGUGUUAUACCUUCGAGUGCUUCAUGGUGGGCUAGCAGUCUUCAUUUUUUGAACCCAUAGAAUAUGGUAGCUCUUUGUUAAGUUGGGUAUGCUUCAUAUUGUAUGCAUUGUUAUUGUAUUAGUAUGGAAUAGAAGUUGCGGCUGUGAAAUUGAUGAGUAGACGUUGUUCUCAUUUUCUAAGUAAUAUCUUGUAACACUUACUUUUUUGGAGGCGAUGGUAGUUCGAGCUUGGUCAGCUGAUCCAUGUCUUUGUAGAUGACUUGUGAUCGAUAAGAUAAACAUUGCUAUCUUACUAUGGUAGUCCAAAGUGGGAGAGCACUUUUGUGCCGAAGAAUUUGUAGGUG